CUCCCCGGUCACCCCCAGGUCACUCCCAGGUCACUCCCCGGUCACUCCCUGGUCACUCCCCGGUCACCCCCAGGUCACUCCCAGGUCACUCCCUGGUCACUCCCUGGUCACCCCCCGGUCACCCCUCGGUCACUCCCAGGUCACUCUCUGGUCACUCCCAGGUCACUCCCAGGUCACUCUGUGGUCACUCCCCGGUCACUCCCAGGUCACUCUCUGGUCACCCCUCGGUCACUCCCCAGUCACUCCCUGGUCACUCCCAGGUCACUCCCCGGUCACUCCCCGGUCACCCCCCGGUCACCCCCCGGUCACUCCCAGGUCACUCCCAGGUCACUCUCUGGUCACCCCUCGGUCACUCCCUGGUAACCCCUCGGUCACUCCCCGGUCACUCCCUGGUCACUCCCUGGUCACCCCCCAGUCACUCCCCGGUCACUCCCUGGUCACCCCCCAGUCACUCCCAGGUCACUCCCUGGUCACUCCCAGGUCACUCCCUGGUCACUCCCCGGUCACUCCCCGGUCACCCCCAGGUCACUCCCAGGUCACUCCCCGGUCACUCCCUGGUCACUCCCCGGUCACCCCCAGGUUCUGCCCGUUGCCGUCCCGUGGCUCCGGAGACCCUCGGCCAUGGUGAGUGGGGACGGGGCCACCUCGGGUACAGCGGGGCCACCAUGGGGUCACCACGGGGUCAGCACGGGGUCACUGUGGGGUCACUGCUUGGUCACACUGUGUGGUCACCGUGGUCACACUGUGGGGUCACACUGGGGUCACAGCAGGGUCACACCAUGGGGUCACUGUGGGGUCACUGUGGGGUCACACUGUGGGGUCACUGCAGUCACACUGUGGGGUUACUGCGGGGUCAUGGUGGGGUCACACUGGGGUCACACUGCAGUCACUGUGGGGUCACUGUGCAGUCACACUGUGGGGUCACUGUGGGGUCACACCAUGGGGUCACUGUGGGGUCACUGUGGGGUCACUGUGGGGUCACUGCGGUCACACCAUGGGGUCACUGUGGGGUCACUGUGGGGUCACACCAUGACAGCCGGUGACAGCCUGUAACAGCCAGUGACACCCGGUGACACUUGGUGACACCCGGUGACACCCAGUGACACUCGGUGACACUCUGUGACAGCCGGUGACACCCGGUGACACUCGGUGACACUCUGUGACAGCCGGUGACAGCCGGUGACACUUGGUGACACUCGGUGACACUCAGUGACAGCCGGUGACAGCCGGUGACACUUGGUGACACUCGGUGACACUCAGUGACACUCUGUGAUAGCCGGUGACACCCGGUGACACUUGGUGACACCCGGUGACACUCGGUGACACUCGGUGACACUCUGUGACAGCCGGUGACACCCGGUGACACCCGGUGACACCUGGUGACACUCGGUGACACUCUGUGACAGCCGGUGACACCCGGUGACACUUGGUGACACUCGGUGACAGCCGGUGACACCCGGUGACAUUCGGUGACACCCAGUGACACCUGGUGACAUUCGGUGACACGCGGUGACACCCCCGGACUCUCCGAUCUCCCCCAGGGCGAGCGCAAGGGCACCAACAAGUACUACCCGCCCGACUUUGACCCCGCCAAGGUGGGCUGGGGGCUUGGGGAGGGGUCCUGGGCAUCCCUGAGGGAUCUCGGGGUGCUGAGGAGGGGCUUUGGGGAGCUCUGGGGGGCUUUGGAAGGAUUUGGGGGACUCUGG
ensembl:lncRNA